GCCGGGAGUCUGGAGUGGUGCAGCCCCAGGGGGAUUUGGGUGAGGGGAUUUGAGGAAUGGGUUGUAGAAUUUGGGGCGGGAGGGAGGAGGGAGCCCCAGGAGUGAGGCUGGUGGCUGUCAGGUCACCUGAGAGGGACGCGGUGAGGUGCCCGGGUGUCUCACCUGCCUGCUUGCGUCCACCUGGUGUGUACAGUCUGCGGUCGGCAUAGCUGUUCAUUGUGGAAAAAAGAAAGGAAAAAGGCAAAAAGUUACUUCCUCUCCAAUUGCCAGUACCCUUUACUUAGGCAUUGGGAAGGCCUAGUUGCAGGGCUCUGAUGCAAUGUUUUUGUCUUUGUCUUGGUGACAAAGAUAGUUCAUCUGUUACCACUUCAUCAUCUAUCACUGCUUCAUCUGAGCACUGUACAUACAAGGAUUAAUAGUGUCUUUUCUCUGGUUUUAGUGCUAGUUUGUACACGUUUAACCAAUGGAAACACAGUACCUUUAUCUAUUUGUACAAGAUGACAGUCAAAUCUCCACAAAGGAGCAGCUCCAAGGGGUGCCAGGGUUCCUCAAAUACACCCUUUAAGGUAUAUUCCUCCAAAACUAUACAGGGAGCAAAUUACUGUAAACUGUGGUCUUUUAAAAUUGCAGAAUAUCCUGCUUACCAGGGUAGAGCACGUUGCUGGAGCAGUAUGGUAAGUUAACUCUGUGAAUGAACAGCAAGUUAUAUUUCCUCUGGCAAAGGAGACGGGGAAAACAGAUGUUAAGGAAAAUACUCUGGCAGUGUUCUCAUGUUGAG
rnacentral:lncRNA from 1 species